rnacentral:lncRNA from 1 species
AAGCCCUAAUUUAUAAAGCUAUAAUCCUUAGUGCAAUUCGAAUCUCUGCAACCAAUGCCAAAGCCCUAUAUAUAUUAGAUGAAAAUUACAGAGAGAUGACUGAAAUGAGCAAUCUGACCUUUUGACGAUUUCAAUUGAGAACACGGCUGUUAAGGUUUCAAGUUUAUGAUUGACUAGAUACAUGACUUAAAAAGCUAAUAGAUGAUUUCCUUACAAACAGUAUGUUUGGAUUAAAAGUUAACUUUGGGCUCAAGAAAGGAGUUGGCCCAAAAGGAGGCCCGAAAGGGAAGAUAGCCGAAGCCCAGUCGAAGCCCAGAAGGCAGGAGAAAGCCUUUUCUGGCUUGAUGCAGCUCAUGAAGACCACUUGCUUACCUACCCAAAGGCCAAGUGGUGUAGGCUGGUCAGCUACACAGCCCAUAAAGUACUUUAUGGUGGCAUUACAUGUAAAAUAGCUGAUGAGUCA